rnacentral:rRNA from 1 species
UCGAACGAAGCACUGAAAGCAGAUUACUUCGGUUUGAAGCUUUCUUUGACUGACCUGGCGGACGGGUGAGUAACGCGUGGGUAACCUGCCUCAUACAGGGGGAUAACAGUUAGAAAUGACUGCUAAUACCGCAUAAGCGCACGGUUUCGCAUGGAACAGUGUGAAAAACUCCGGUGGUAUGGGAUGGACCCGCGUCUGAUUAGCUGGUUGGCGGGGUAACGGCCCACCAAGGCGACGAUCAGUAGCCGGCCUGAGAGGGUGAACGGCCACAUUGGGACUGAGACACGGCCCAAACUCCUACGGGAGGCAGCAGUGGGGAAUAUUGCACAAUGGGGGAAACCCUGAUGCAGCGACGCCGCGUGAAGGAAGAAGUAUUUCGGUAUGUAAACUUCUAUCAGCAGGGAAGAAAAUGACGGUACCUGACUAAGAAGCCCCGGCUAACUACGUGCCAGCAGCCGCGGUAAUACGUAGGGGGCAAGCGUUAUCCGGAUUUACUGGGUGUAAAGGGAGCGUAGGCGGCGAUGCAAGUCAGAAGUGAAAGCCCGGGGCUCAACUCCGGGACUGCUUUUGAAACUGUGUUGCUAGAUUGCAGGAGAGGUAAGUGGAAUUCCUAGUGUAGCGGUGAAAUGCGUAGAUAUUAGGAGGAACACCAGUGGCGAAGGCGGCUUACUGGACUGUAAAUGACGCUGAGGCUCGAAAGCGUGGGGAGCAA